rnacentral:rRNA from 1 species
GGAUUGCCCCAGUAACGGCGAGUGAAGCGGCAACAGCUCAAAUUUGAAAUCUGGUCCCCCCGCGGGGCCCGAGUUGUAAUUUGAAGAGGAUGCUUCUGGCAAGGUGCCGUCCGAGUUCCCUGGAACGGGACGCCGCAGAGGGUGAGAGCCCCGUACGGUCGGAUGCCGAGCCUCUGUGAAGCUCCUUCGACGAGUCGAGUAGUUUGGGAAUGCUGCUCAAAAUGGGAGGUAAACCCCUUCUAAAGCUAAAUACCGGCCAGAGACCGAUAGCGCACAAGUAGAGUGAUCGAAAGAUGAAAAGCACUUUGAAAAGAGAGUUAAAAAGCACGUGAAAUUGUUGAAAGGGAAGCGCUUGCGACCAGACUCGCGCCCGUCGGAUCAGCCGUCGCUCGUCGGCGGCGCACUCCGGCGGGCUCGGGCCAGCAUCAGUUCGCCUCGGGGGGAGAAAGGCGGCAGGAAUGUGGCUCUACGGAGUGUUAUAGCCUGCCGUACAAUACCCCCGGGCGGACUGAGGACCGCGCGUAUGCAAGGAUGCUGGCGUAAUGGUCGUCAGCGACCCGUCUUGAAACACGGACCAAGGAGUCGUCCUAAUAUGCGAGUGUACGGGUGUCAAACCCCUGCGCGUAAUGAAAGUGAACGGAGGUGAGAGCUUCGGCGCAUCAUCGACCGAUCCUGAUGUUCUCGGAUGGAUUUGAGUAAGAGCAUAUUGGGCCGGACCCGAAAGAAGGUGAACUAUGCCUGUGUAGGGUAAAGCCAGAGGAAACUCUGGUGGAGGCUCGCAGCGGUUCUGACGUGCAAAUCGAUCGUCAAACAUGGGCAUGGGGGCGAAAGACUAAUC